rnacentral:misc_RNA from 1 species
GGGCGUGUGAGUGGUGUUUGGAAUGUUGGGAUGGUAGGCUCCGUGCUUUUUGCAUCGAACUGCCACACCGCWUCCUUUUCAAGCCUCAAGCAUUGCUUUUAUGCUUGAGAGUCGAYCGUGUUCCUGUAUYUGAUACCCAUGUCGGAGGAACUAGGCCCCNGUACUCUYUUUUCCUCUCGGUGCCUCUCAGGGGGUAUCGAGCGGAGCACGUAGUCUGAUCCCUCGAACCUAGCAUGCCCNUUUGGUUGCAACGGUUGUCGGAUCAAAAGCUYGUGUUCUCGGAUGCGGAAUAUUCGAUGGGUCCAAGGAUCGUAUCCUUGCAUCGACCCUGUGUGGGAAAUCGUCCCUCGRUAAGAACGACAUCCGCUGCGCGUUCCGAAACAUCCKACGUCCUCUGGGGYUGAGGGUGCUUCGUGCGUGCAYCGGUGUCCUCGGAGGAAUGCUACCUGGUUGAUCCUGCCAGUAGUCAUAUGCUUGUCUCAAAGAUUAAGCCAUGCA